AACGCUGAACGAAGUUCCAGAUGCUUUUAAGGUGUUCAGCGAACACCCUUAUGGUGUCGCUGUAUUCGACGCCGAUGAAGAUGGCGAGCUCGAUUGUUUGACAACGAAGCGUACAGAAUUCAACCCUGAAGGCCCUUCUGUUACAUAUGUUUGGAUGCUAAAGGGUUUGAAGGGGUUUCAAAG